rnacentral:lncRNA from 9 species
GGAAAGGCGAAACUAUGAGGAUAGAGGCUUUCUUUCUGGAGCUGUUGGGAGCUGGAGUGAGAGCCCACAAGAGAGUGGAAACAGUCCAAGAAAAGCAGGGAGGAUGUGCAGAGACAGUUUAUUCAAGGAAAACCAGUUGAAUCUAAUUGGCUGAAAACCAACAUGCAGAAGAUCCUAGGCCAGGGAUAGAACCCACCCCACAACAGAGACCCAAGCCACAGCAAUAACAACACCGGAUCCUUAACUGCUAAGCCACCAGGGAACUUCUGCUUAAUUCUAUUUUUUAGGAGAGACCUGGAAUAUUUCCUAUCUAUUCUCAUGGAGAAGAUACCUCUCAAGCACCUGCUGCUUAUCCAUUUUCCUUUAGAAAAGAGAGAACUUGGAAGGGACUUCCACAAGUUUUUUCUAAAACAAAUGGACAGAGAAAGGAUGG